rnacentral:rRNA from 1 species
AACGUAGGUCACAAGCGUUGUCCGGAAUUACUGGGUGUAAAGGGAGCGCAGGCGGGAAAGCAAGUUGGAAGUGAAAUCUAUGGGCUCAACCCAUAAAUUGCUUUCAAAACUGUUUUUCUUGAGUGGUGCAGAGGUAGGCGGAAUUCCCGGUGUAGCGGUGGAAUGCGUAGAUAUCGGGAGGAACACCAGUGGCGAAGGCGGCCUACUGGGCACUAACUGACGCUGAGGCUCGAAAGUGUGGGUAGCAAACAGG